CAGUCGAGCGGACCUCUUCGGAGGUCAGCGGCGGACGGGUGAGUAACACGUGGGCAACCUGCCUGUAAGACUGGGAUAACUCCGGGAAACCGGAGCUAAUACCGGAUACUAUGUCAAACCGCAUGGUUUGACAUUCAAAGACGGUUUCGGCUGUCACUUACAGAUGGGCCCGCGGCGCAUUAGCUAGUUGGUGAGGUAAUGGCUCACCAAGGCGACGAUGCGUAGCCGACCUGAGAGGGUGAUCGGCCACACUGGGACUGAGACACGGCCCAGACUCCUACGGGAGGCAGCAGUAGGGAAUCUUCCGCAAUGGACGAAAGUCUGACGGAGCAACGCCGCGUGAGUGAUGAAGGUUUUCGGAUCGUAAAACUCUGUUGUCAGGGAAGAACAAGUGCCGGAGUAACUGCCGGCACCUUGACGGUACCUGACCAGAAAGCCACGGCUAACUACGUGCCAGCAGCCGCGGUAAUACGUAGGUGGCAAGCGUUGUCCGGAAUUAUUGGGCGUAAAGCGCGCGCAGGCGGUUUCUUAAGUCUGAUGUGAAAGCCCCCGGCUCAACCGGGGAGGGUCAUUGGAAACUGGGAAACUUGAGUGCUGAAGAGGAGAGUGGA
rnacentral:rRNA from 1 species